AGAGUUUGAUCCUGGCUCAGGACGAACGCUGGCGGCGUGCCUAACACAUGCAAGUCGCACGAGAAAGUGGAGCAAUCCAUGAGUAAAGUGGCGCACGGGUGAGUAACACGUGACUAACCUACCUCGAGUGGGGAAUAACCUAGAGAAAUCUGGGCUAAUACCGCAUAACACUUACGAGUCAAAGCAGCAAUGCGCUUGAG
rnacentral:rRNA from 1 species